rnacentral:rRNA from 1 species
UACGGAGGAUGCAAGCGUUAUCCGGAAUGAUUGGGCGUAAAGCGUCCGCAGGUGGCGAUGUAAGUCUGCUGUUAAAGAGUUUGGCUCAACCAAAUAAAGGCGGUGGAAACUACAUAGCUAGAGUACGUUCGGGGCAGAGGGAAUUCCUGGUGUAGCGGUGAAAUGCGUAGAGAUCAGGAAGAACACCGGUGGCGAAAGCGCUCUGCUAGGCCGUAACUGACACUGAGGGACGAAAGCGAGGGGAGCGAAUGGG